GACGAACGCUGGCGGCGCGCUUAACACAUGCAAGUCGAACGGAAAGGCCUGCUUUCCCUUGUGGAUUGCGGGUACUCGAGUGGCGAACGGGUGAGUAACACGUGAGUGAUCUGCCCCCAACUUGGGUAUAAGCCUGGGAAACUGGGUCUAAUUCCCGAUAGGACUGCAGGGUGGUGCCUGUGGUGGAAAACGAUUUUCUAGUGGUUGGGGAUGAGCUCGCGGCCUAUCAGCUUGUUGGUGGGGUAAUGGCCUACCAAGGCGGCGACGGGUAGCCGGCCUGAGAGGGUGGACGGCGACAUUGGGACUGAGAUACGGCCCAGACUCCUACGGGAGGCAGCAGUGGGGAAUAUUGGACAAUGGGCGGAAGCCUGAUGCAGCGACGCCGCGUGGGGGAUGACGGCCUUCGGGUUGUAAACUCCUUUCGACCGAGAGGAAGCCACCUGGUUGGAAGGGUGGUGACGGUAGUGGUAGAAGAAGCACCGGCUAACUACGUG
rnacentral:rRNA from 1 species